GUGCUUAUACCCUAUGUUGCACUCUAGUAAUGGGUGUGAAUUUGCGAUAUUGCCUCACCACAUGUACAAGUUAAACAAGCAAUUUAAUGGCCUAUUAUUUGCAGUGGCCCAUGGAGGGAUGAAAUGGGUUGUUUUGAAUGUUUUUUGGAAUUAGAUUAUUCAAAUUUAAAUAUUGACUUUUAGCUGCAUAUUGAGCACAAUAUAUAGCAUGACUAAUCCAAUUCAUGAUAUUGUUGCAAAGUAUUGGUCGAAUGAUUUGCUUUUUAUUUUACUUUGACUUGAGCAUAAAAAAUUGUUUCACCAAUUUUUACUUGGUACAUGAAUCAUUUUAUUGUGCAAAACUGAAUCUCAAGUUUCAAGCAUCUAGAAUCCAGGCCAGCUGUGGGUAUAUUAGGAUUGGAAAAUCUAGUUGUUUGAGAUGGAAAUUUAUGAUCCAUAGAAUUGCUUAAGUGUGAUGUAAGUUGAGGAUGAAAUAUUUUGUGCUAACAAAAAGAUGAAGGGAAGCUUCUAGGGGUUGCUUUUGAAUUAGGAUUAAGCUUUGUCAAUCUACUUAGAAUGAUUGUGUUUUAUUUUCCUCUGGUUAAUUUAUGGAUUUAUAUCAUCCGAAUUUUAUAUUUUUAUUGACUUUUUAUAGGUGCUAGGGCCUAUUUCGUAUUGGUUUCUAUAAAGGUCUCAGCAAUGUAAGAUUUGGGAGAAAAUUUAGAGUUCUAGUCUGUUCAGGAUUUAGUAUUUUGUAAAGGCUCUUAUACAACCACUAUUAGAGAAUAAAUUCAAUGCCUGUCUGUGUACUGGGUUCUGUUACUUCUGUUAGUGUCCAAGUAAUUUGGGAUAAGAUCACAAGGUUUUUGGGCCUCACAUCUCAAUUUGUUAUGCUUCAAUACCUGUAGCCUUUUGUAGAGUUGCACUAUUCUCCUUCUUUGUUGAUGUGCUUGGCAUUUCUCCUACUGAAAUUGCUGCUGUAGAAAGCUAGUACUAAAGCAAAAGCAUUGAUGUGUGAUCCGUGGCUAUCAUCCUAAACAAGGAUUCAAGUGUGUAUUUGCUUCAAUAUUACAGUUCUGAUCAUUUUUCUGAAACUUUUAUUUCAGCUAACCCCCUUUUUUUUUUCUCA
rnacentral:misc_RNA from 1 species